rnacentral:rRNA from 1 species
ACCCGCUGAACUUAAGCAUAUCAAUAAGCGGAGGAAAAGAAACCAACAGGGAUUGCCCUAGUAACGGCGAGUGAAGCGGCAACAGCUCAAAUUUGAAAUCUGGCGUCUUUGGCGUCCGAGUUGUAAUUUGCAGAGGGCGCUUUGGCAUUGGCAGCGGUCCAAGUUCCUUGGAACAGGACGUCACAGAGGGUGAGAAUCCCGUACGUGGUCGCUAGCCUUUACCGUGUAAAGCCCCUUCGACGAGUCGAGUUGUUUGGGAAUGCAGCUCUAAAUGGGAGGUAAAUUUCUUCUAAAGCUAAAUACUGGCCAGAGACCGAUAGCGCACAAGUAGAGUGAUCGAAAGAUGAAAAGCACUUUGGAGAGAGAGUUAAAAAGCACGUGAAAUUGUUGAAAGGGAAGCGCUUGCAGCCAGACUUGCCUGUAGUUGCUCAUCCGGGUUUUUACCCGGUGCACUCUUCUAUAGGCAGGCCAGCAUCAGUUUGGGCGGUUGGAUAAAGGUCUCUGUCAUGUACCUCUCUUCGGGGAGAACUUAUAGGGGAGACGACAUGCAACCAGCCCGGACUGAGGUCCGCGCAUCUGCUAGGAUGCUGGCGUAAUGGCUGU